rnacentral:rRNA from 1 species
GUUUGAUCCUGGCUCAGAAUCAACGCUGGCGGCGUGCCUAACACAUGCAAGUCGAUCGAGAAAGUGGAGCAAUCCAUGAGUAAAGAGGCGCACGGGUGAGUAACACGUGACUAACCUACCCUCGAGUGGGGAAUAACCUGGGGAAACCCGGGCUAAUACCGCAUAAUACCUACGGGUCAAAGGAGCAAUUCGCUUGAGGAGGGGGUCGCGGCAGAUUAGUUAGUUGGCGGGGUAAUGGCCCACCAAGACGAUGAUCUGUAUCCGGCCUGAGAGGGCGCACGGACACACUGGAACUGAAACACGGUCCAGACUCCUACGGGAGGCAGCAGUGGGGAAUUUUGCGCAAUGGGGGAAACCCUGACGCAGCAACGCCGCGUGGAGGAUGAAGUCCCUUGGGACGUAAA